CCUACGGGUGACAGCAGUGAGGAAUAUUGGUCAAUGGCCGGGAUGCUGAACCAGCCAAGCCGCGUGAGUGAAGAAGGCGCAGUGCGUCGCAGACCUCUUUUGUCGGGGGACAAAACCCCGGACGUGUCCCGGCCUGAGUGUACCCGAAGAAAAAGCAUCGGCUAACUCCGUGCCAGCAGCCGCGGUAAUACGGAGGAUGCGAGCGUUAUCCGGAUUCAUUGGGUUUAAAGGGUGCGUAGGCGGUCCGUUAAGUCAGCGGUAAAAUCGCGGGGCUCAACCCCGCCGAGCCGUGGAAACUGGGGGACUUGAGGGGGCGAGAGGCAGGCGGAAUGCGCGGUGUAGCGGUGAAAUGCAUAGAUAUCGCGCAGAACCCCGAUUGCGAAGGCAGCGUGCCGUGGCGAGACUGACGCUGAGGCACGAAAGCGCGGGGAUCGAACAGGAUUAGAUACCCGAGUAGUC
rnacentral:rRNA from 1 species